UAACACAUGCAAGUCGAACGGCACCUAUCUUCGGAUAGAAGCGAGUGGCGAACGGCUGAGUAACACGUGGAGAACCUGCCCCCUCCCCCGGGAUAGCCGUCCGAAAGGACGGGUAAUACCGGAUACCCCCGGGCGCCGCAUGGCGCCCGGGCUAAAGCCCCGACGGGAGGGGAUGGCUCCGCGGCCCAUCAGGUAGACGGCGGAGUGACGGCCCACCGUGCCGACAACGGGUAGCCGGGUUGAGAGACCGACCGGCCAGAUUGGGACUGAGACACGGCCCAGACUCCUACGGGAGGCAGCAGUGGGGAAUCUUGCGCAAUGGGGGGAACCCUGACGCAGCGACGCCGCGUGCGGGACGGAGGCCUUCGGGUCGUAAACCGCUUUCAGCAGGGAAGAGUCAAGACUGUACCUGCAGAAGAAGCCCCGGCUAACUACGUGCCAGCAGCCGCGGUAAUACGUAGGGGGCGAGCGUUAUCCGGAUUCAUUGGGCGUAAAGCGCGCGUAGGCGGCCCGGCAGGCCGGGGGUCGAAGCGGGGGGCUCAACCCCCCGAAGCCCCCGGAACCUCCGCGGCUUGGGUCCGGUAGGGGAGGGUGGAACACCCGGUGUAGCGGUGGAAUGCGCAGAUAUCGGGUGGAACACCGGUGGCGAAGGCGGCCCUCUGGGCCGAGACCGACGCUGAGGCGCGAAAGCUGGGGGAGCGAACAGGAUUAGAUACCCUGGUAGUCCCAGCCGUA
rnacentral:rRNA from 1 species